rnacentral:rRNA from 1 species
CGGGGUGAGUAACGCGUGGAUAACCUGCCUCAUACAGGGGGAUAACAGUUAGAAAUGACUGCUAAUACCGCAUAAGCGCACAGGACCGCAUGGUCUGGUGUGAAAAACUCCGGUGGUAUGGGAUGGAUCCGCGUCUGAUUAGCUGGUUGGUGAGGUAACGGCCCACCAAGGCGACGAUCAGUAGCCGACCUGAGAGGGUGGCCGGCCACAUUGGGACUGAGACACGGCCCAAACUCCUACGGAAGGCAGCAG